AUACGUAGGAUCCGAGCGUUGUCCGGAUUUACUGGGCGUAAAGGGUGCGUAGGCGGCGCGGUAAGUCUCAUGUGAAAUCUCCCGGCUUAACUGGGAGGGGUCAUGGGAAACUGCCAUGCUCGAGGGCAGCAGAGGAGAGCGGAAUUCCGGGAGUAGCGUUGAUAUGCGUAGAUACCCGGAGGAACACCCGUGGCGAAAGCGGCUCUCUGGGCUGUACCUGACGCUAAGGCACGAAAGCGUGGGGAGCAAACCGGAUUAGAAACCCCAGUAGUCC
rnacentral:rRNA from 1 species